AGCCUACGGGAGGCAGCAGUGGGGAAUAUUGCACAAUGGGGGAAACCCUGACGCAGCGACGCCGCGUGAGUGAAGAAGUAUUUCGGUAUGUAAAGCUCUAUCAGCAGGGAAGAGAAUGACGGUACCUGAGUAAGAAGCCCCGGCUAACUACGUGCCAGCAGCCGCGGUAAUACGUAGGGGGCGAGCGUUAUCCGGAUUUACUGGGUGUAAAGGGAGCGUAGACGGCAUGGCAAGUCUGGAGUGAAAGCCCGGGGCCCAACCCCGGGACUGCUCUGGAAACUGCCAUGCUAGAGUGCUGGAGAGGU
rnacentral:rRNA from 1 species